UACGUAGGGGGCUAGCGUUGUCCGGAAUCAUUGGGCGUAAAGCGCGCGUAGGCGGCCCUGUUAGUCCGCUGUAAAAGUCAAAGGCUCAACCUUUGAAUGCCGGUGGAUACUGCAGGGCUAGAGUCCGGAAGAGGCGAGUGGAAUUCCUGGUGUAGCGGUGAAAUGCGUAGAUAUCAAGAGGAACACCUGCGGCGAAGGCGGGUUGCUGGGCCGACACUGACGCUGAUGCGCGAAAGCGUGGGGAGCAAACAGG
rnacentral:rRNA from 1 species